rnacentral:rRNA from 1 species
AGCAGCCGCGGUAAUUCCAGCUCCAAUAGCGUAUAUUAAAGUUGUUGCAGUUAAAAAGCUCGUAGUUGAAUUUCGGGAUCAGACUGUCGGUCGUGCCUCGGUACGCACUGGCAUUAUUGGUUCCUACCUUCUGAAGAACCGCGAUGUCAUUAAUUUGGUGUCGCGGGGAAUCAGGACUGUUACUUUAGAAAAAUUAGAGUGUUUAAAGCAGGCUUACGCUUGAAUACAUUAGCAUGGAAUAAUGAAAUAGGACGUUUGAUUCUAUUUUGUUGGUUUCUAGAAUUGACGUAAUGAUUAAUAGGGAUAGUUGGGGGCAUUAGUAUUCAAUUGUCAGAGGUGAAAUUCUUGGAUUUAUUGAAGACUAACUACUGCGAAAGCAUUUGCCAAGGAUGUUUUCAUUAAUCAAGAACGAAAGUUAGGGGAUCGAAGACGAUCAGAUACCGUCGUAGUCUUAACCAUAAACUAUGCCGACUAGGGAUCGGGAUGAUGUUAAUUUUUAAUGUACUCA